UCAUCUCUAUAUGAUGUACACUCUUAUAUUCUAUAAAAGACAUUCUUCCUCACAUUCUCACACAAGUGAAUACAUCCUAAUCCUUGCACUCUUUUUUCAAGAAAAAUCCACUAAUUCCUGGAUUCUUAGAAGGAAAAACACACCCAGAAUUUCUGCAAUUUUAGAUAUACAUAGAUCGAAGAAGUUUUUAUCUUCUCAAGUUAAUUUUGAGCUAAAAGUUGAAGUUCAUUCUGGGACUUACUGCUGAUUUCUGUCUACUCAUUGCUGAUUCUUAAGUCUCGUUGAACUUCUCUCUUUCAUUUUAGCCUUUAUUUGGCCAUUCUAAGUUCCCUAACUGCAUUUCAAGGUACAUGUUCUAACUUCAAACCAUGUAAUUGAUAUUAGGAUGUUUUAUUGUUAUACAAUCUAUGUUGUUUGUUAGUUGAUGUGUACGGUGGAUGUUCCUCUAUGUUUGACUGCAAAUUUGAGCUUAGAUUGAAGAAAAAUGGUUUGAUAAAUCUUCAUACAUGCUGGUAACCUAAGUAAUAAAAUAAUUAUCAGUUCUAUAUUUUGAUUUAUGACUGCUGAGAUUUGGUUUGUUGUUGGUGAAUUUCAUACAUGUGAUGUUCUGAAGGUUUCCUAUUAGAUUUGUGGCCUAAGAAGUAAGAUGUCGGAAGUGUUGGAGAUGAGCUUGGAAAUAUGACCAGUGCUUGGCUUGAUUUUAAAGUUUUGUCAAUUAAAAGUGGUCAUCUAUUGUAAUUAUUGAAUUUUAGUUUAGUAUGGUUCUUGAUAUAGAGUUGUAAUAAUUCAGUUCAUUAUCAUUGAAUGUUGUUAUACAGAUUUAGUAGACUGAUAGUUAACGUUAAAAAAAUAUAGAUUAUGGAAUGUUGUUAUAUAGCAGUUUAUCAUGAGUUUAGCAUGUUAAAGUCCCUCUUGCACGAAGUAGCUUCAUUAUUAGUAGUUUAUUAACAGUAGAGAUGUAAAUGUUAAUUUAGGGAUGAUAUUGUAUAAGUAAUUCAAUUGGAGCUGGUGUUUAAACUCGUUUGAAGUACUUUAGUCUGUUGUGAUUUGUUACGGG
rnacentral:lncRNA from 1 species